UUUCGGCGUGCCUAAUACAUGCAAGUAGAACGCUGAAGAGAGGAGCUUGCUCUUCUUGGAUGAGUUGCGAACGGGUGAGUAACGCGUAGGUAACCUGCCUUGUAGCGGGGGAUAACUAUUGGAAACGAUAGCUAAUACCGCAUAACAAUGGAUGACACAUGUCAUUUAUUUGAAAGGGGCAAAUGCUCCACUACAAGAUGGACCUGCGUUGUAUUAGCUAGUAGGUGAGGUAACGGCUCACCUAGGCGACGAUACAUAGCCGACCUGAGAGGGUGAUCGGCCACACUGGGACUGAGACGCGGCCCAGACUCCUACGGGAGGCAGCAGUAGGGAAUCUUCGGCAAUGGGGGCAACCCUGACCGAGCAACGCCGCGUGAGUGAAGAAGGUUUUCGGAUCGUAAAGCUCUGUUGUAAGUCAAGAACGAGUGUGAGAGUGGAAAGUUCACACUGUGACGGUAGCUUACCAGAAAGGGACGGCUAACUACGUGCCAGCAGCCGCGGUAAUACGUAGGUCCCGAGCGUUGUCCGGAUUUAUUGGGCGUAAAGCGAGCGCAGGCGGUUUGAUAAGUCUGAAGUUAAAGGCUGUGGCUCAACCAUAGUUCGCUUUGGAAACUGUCAAACUUGAGUGCAGAAGGGGAGAGUGGAAUUCCAUGUGUAGCGGUGAAAUGCGUAGAUAUAUGGAGGAACACCGGUGGCGAAAGCGGCUCUCUGGUCUGUAACUGACGCUGAGGCUCGAAAGCGUGGGGAGCGAACAGGAUUAGAUACCCUGGUAGUCCACGCCGUAAACGAUGAGUGCUAGGUGUUGGAUCCUUUCCGGGAUUCAGUGCCGCAGCUAACGCAUUAAGCACUCCGCCUGGGGAGUACGACCGCAAGGUUGAAACUCAAAGGAAUUGACGGGGGCCCGCACAAGCGGUGGAGCAUGUGGUUUAAUUCGAAGCAACGCGAAGAACCUUACCAGGUCUUGACAUCCCGAUGCUAUUUCUAGAGAUAGAAAGUUACUUCGGUACAUCGGUGACAGGUGGUGCAUGGUUGUCGUCAGCUCGUGUCGUGAGAUGUUGGGUUAAGUCCCGCAACGAGCGCAACCCCUAUUGUUAGUUGCCAUCAUUCAGUUGGGCACUCUAGCGAGACUGCCGGUAAUAAACCGGAGGAAGGUGGGGAUGACGUCAAAUCAUCAUGCCCCUUAUGACCUGGGCUACACACGUGCUACAAUGGUUGGUACAACGAGUUGCGAGUCGGUGACGGCAAGCUAAUCUCCUAAAGCCAAUCUCAGUUCGGAUUGUAGGCUGCAACUCGCCUACAUGAAGUCGGAAUCGCUAGUAAUCGCGGAUCAGCACGCCGCGGUGAAUACGUUCCCGGGCCUUGUACACACCGCCCGUCACACCACGAGAGUUUGUAACACCCGAAGUCGGUGAGGUAACCUUUUGGAGCCAGCCGCCUAAGGUGGGAUAGAUGAUUGGGGUGA
rnacentral:rRNA from 1 species